CUGGUCUUAGCCAAGUGGUUACCACAACAGAGUCAAAAUCUGUUUCUCUUGGAUAGUGCAAGUUCAAAACCUGCUGACAAGA